rnacentral:lncRNA from 1 species
UGUGAUUACUUUAAUAAAAUUCUUGUUUAGAACAUGUUUUUUUUAAUUCAUAGAAAUCUAACUUAAGUUGAAUGUAGCAUGAAGUUGUCGGAACUAUGAUAGGAAUUUUCUGGGGUCAAAAAACUUAAAUGGGAAAUAUGUUAGCAUAUUCUUUUUUAUAUUUACUGUCGGGUUUGUUACUCGUGAUGUGUGGAUUCAGUAAAAUGUGUCCCCGUGCCUGUAGUGUAUUCCCUUCUAUUUUUACAGUUAGGGGUUUUUUACUUGUGAGAGAGCUGUCUACUUAUUCUAUUAUCAUGAUUAUUAAUGGUCUCUUGUGGACAGUUGUCUCAUUGACAAUCAUACCACAUCUUAUUUUUUAUAUUUACUGCAGGGUUUGUUACUCGUGCUGUGUGGAUUCAGUAAAAUGUGUACCCGUGCCUGUAGUGUAUGCCAAGAAUAUGCAAUUAAUGUGAAUAUCUCAUUGACAAUGAGGCUGUCAGGGUGACAGCAAACCGGGUUUUUUUUUUACAUUUUUUUGUCUUAGCAUUUUUCAGUACCACAAGGAACCAUAAAAGUAACAAUCAUCAAUAUUUAAUUUAACCUCCAUUUUG